rnacentral:rRNA from 1 species
UACAGAGGUCCCAAGCGUUGUUCGGAUUCACUGGGCGUAAAGGGGGCGUAGGUGGUUAGGUAAGUCCGAUGUGAAAUCUCCAGGCUCAACCUGGAAAUGGCAUUGGAUACUAUCUAGCUUGAGGAGUGGAGGGGGGACUGGAAUUCUCGGUGUAGCAGUGAAAUGCGUAGAUAUCGAGAGGAACACCGGUGGCGAAGGCGGCGACCUGGUCCAACACUGACGCUGAGGCGCGAAAGCGUGGGGAGCGAACAGG